GAAAUGCGAUAAUUAAUGUGAAUUGCAGAAUUCAGUGAAUCAUCGAGUCUUUGAACGCACAUUGCGCCCCCUGGUAUUCCGGGGGGCAUGCCUGUCCGAGCGUCAUUGCUGCCCGCAAGCACGGCUUGUGUGUUGGGCUUCCGUCCCUGGCAACGGGGACGGGCCCAAAAGGCAGUGGCGGCACCAUGUCUGGUCCUCGAGCGUAUGAGGCUUUGUCACCCGCUCCCGUAGGUCCAGCUGGCAGCUAGCCUCGCAACCAAUCUUUUUAACCAGGUUGACCUCGGAUCAGGUAGGGAUACCCGCUGAACUUAAGC
rnacentral:misc_RNA from 1 species